rnacentral:rRNA from 1 species
AUUGAACGCUGGCGGCAGGCCUAACACAUGCAAGUCGAGCGGGGCGGCGGACGGGUGCGUGAUGCCUAUGAAUCGGCCUGGUAGUGGGGGAUAGCGUCCGGAAACGGGCGCUAAUACCGCUUACUCUCAGAUGAGCCUAGGUCGGAUUAGCUAGUUGUGGGGGUAAAGGCCCACCAAGGCGACGAUCCGUAACUGGUCUGAGAGGAUGAUCAGUCACACUGGAACUGAGACACGGUCCAGACUCCUACGGGAGGCAGCAGUGGGGAAUAUUGGACAAUGGGCGCAAGCCUGAUCCAGCCAUGCCGCGUGUGUGAAGAAGGUCUUCGGAUUGUAAAGCACUUUAAGUUGGGAGGCGUUACCAACAGAAUAAGCACCGGCUAACUUCGUGCCAGCAGCCGCGGUAAUAC